rnacentral:rRNA from 1 species
UGCAAGUCGAACGAACCUUCGGGUUAGUGGCGGACGGGUGAGUAACGCGUGAGAAUCUGCCCUCAGGAGGGGGACAACAGCUGGAAACGGCUGCUAAUACCCCAUAUGCCGCGAGGUGAAAUGAAUUUCGCCUGAGGAUGAGCUCGCGUCUGAUUAGCUAGUUGGUGUAGGUAAUGGCUCACCAAGGCAUCGAUCAGUAGCUGGUCUGAGAGGAUGAUCAGCCACACUGGGACUGAGACACGGCCCAGACUCCUACGGGAGGCAGCAGUGGGGAAUUUUCCGCAAUGGGCGAAAGCCUGACGGAGCAACGCCGCGUGAGGGAUGAAGGCCUCUGGGCUGUAAACCUCUUUUAUCAAGGAAGAAGAUCUGACGGUACUUGAUGAAUAAGCCACGGCUAAUUCCGUGCCAGCAGCCGCGGUAAUACGGGAGUGGCAAGCGUUAUCCGGAAUUAUUGGGCGUAAAGCGUCCGCAGGCGGCCCUUCAAGUCUGCUGUUAAAAAGUGGAGCUUAACUCCAUCAUGGCAGUGGAAACUGUUGGGCUUGAGUGUGGUAGGGGCAGAGGGAAUUCCCGGUGUAGCGGUGAAAUGCGUAGAUAUCGGGAAGAACACCAGUGGCGAAGGCGCUCUGCUGGGCCAUCACUGACGCUCAUGGACGAAAGCCAGGGGAGCGAAAGGGAUUAGAUACCCCUGUAGUCCUGGCCGUAAACGAUGAACACUAGGUGUCGGGGGAAUCGACCCCCUCGGUGUCGUAGCCAACGCGUUAAGUGUUCCGCCUGGGGAGUACGCACGCAAGUGUGAAACUCAAAGGAAUUGACGGGGGCCCGCACAAGCGGUGGAGUAUGUGGUUUAAUUCGAUGCAACGCGAAGAACCUUACCAGGGUUUGACAUCCUGCGAAUCUCUUGGAAACAGGAGAGUGCCUUCGGGAACGCAGUGACAGGUGGUGCAUGCUGUCGUCAGCUCGUGUCGUGAGAUGUUGGUUAAGUCCCGCAACGAGCGCAACCCACGUCUUUAGUUGCAGCAUUUAGUGGUACUCUAGAAGACUGCUGUGAUAACCGAGAGGUGUGAUGACGUCAGUCAUCAUGCCCUUACAUCCUGGCUA